CCUGUUGUUGUUCCAGCAUGGUCGGCGGAUCCUAUGGUAUAUAAGCUGGCAGCCUUUCGAGCUAUGAGUGUGGGAGCGUUCACACACAUAGCAGCAUGGGCUGGUGGGGAGAGCGAGCAUGGAUGCAUCCAUCGGCUGGGAUCUGAGUAUGGCUGCUCCUGUGCGGCUGUGGAAGGUGUAUGGAGGGGGCAGUUGGGAACAUGGCAGGGGGCUUGCCAUGAAGGGGAGCGGGUUUCGAGCCCUGCACUGCAGGGGACCGCAGUUGUGCGGCUCACAUAUGAUGGGGGCAUUGUUGACAUUGUAUCUAAGGC
rnacentral:lncRNA from 1 species